rnacentral:rRNA from 1 species
GACGAACGCUGGCGGCGUGCUUAACACAUGCAAGUCGAGCGGUAAGGCCCUUUCGGGGGUACACGAGCGGCGAACGGGUGAGUAACACGUGGGCAACCUGCCCCAGACUCAGGGAUAACCCCGGGAAACCGGGGCUAAUACCCGAUACUCCGAUCGAACCACAUGGCUCGAUCGGGAAAGCUCCGACGGUCUGGGAUGGGCCCGCGGCCUAUCAGCUUGUUGGUGGGGUAACGGCCUACCAAGGCGACGACGGGUAGCUGGCUGAGAGGACGACCAGCCACACUGGAACUGAGACACGGCCCAGACUCCUACGGGAGGCAGCAGUGGGGAAUCUUGCGCAAUGGGGCGAAAGCCUGACGCAGCGACGCCGCGUGAGGGAUGACGGCCU